AUUGAACGCUGGCGGCAGGCCUAACACAUGCAAGUCGAGCGGAGCGGCGGACGGGUGAGUAAUGCCUAGGAAUCUGCCUGGUGGUGGGGGAUAACGUCCGGAAACGGUCGCUAAUACCGCAUACUAUCAGAUGAGCCGAGGUCGGAUUAGCUAGUUGGUGGGGUAAAGGCCUACCAAGGCGACGAUCCGUAACUGGUCUGAGAGGAUGAUCAGUCACACUGGAACUGAGACACGGUCCAGACGCCUACGGGAGGCAGCAGUGGGGAAUAUUGGACAAUGGGCGAAAGCCUGAUCCAGCCAUGCCGCGUGUGUGAAGAAGGUCUUCGGAUUGUAAAGCACUUUUAGUUGGGAGGCGUUACCAACAGAAUAAGCACCGGCUAACUCCGUGCCAGCAGCCGCGGUAAUAC
rnacentral:rRNA from 1 species